UGGGGAAUCUUCGGCAAUGGACGAAAGUCUGACCGAGCAACGCCGCGUGAGUGAAGAAGGUUUUCGGAUCGUAAAACUCUGUUGUUAGAGAAGAACAAGGACGUUAGUAACUGAACGUCCCCUGACGGUAUCUAACCAGAAAGCCACGGCUAACUACGUGCCAGCAGCCGCGGUAAUACGUAGGGCGCGAGCGUUGUCCGGAAUUAUUGGGCGUAAAGGGCUUGUAGGCGGCUUGUUGCGCCUGCUGUGAAAACGCGGGGCUUAACUUCGGGCGUGCAGUGGGUAAGGGCAGGGUUUAGUGUGGGAGGGGGGAAUGGAAUUCCAGGUGUAGCGGGGGAAUGCGCAGAUAUCUGGGGGGACACCGAUGGGGAAGGCAGGGCACUGGGCCAUUACUGACGCUGAGGAGCGAAAGCAUGGGUAGCGAACAGG
rnacentral:rRNA from 1 species